rnacentral:ncRNA from 1 species
UGCCAUUCGGAUUAAAAGGGAAUCGGGUGAAAGUCCCGGACAGUCCCGCUGCUGUGAAGCUCUAUACACCUUUUCAAUAACACCAUAGCCACUGAAUGUCUUGCAGUAGAAAAGAAGACAUCGGGAAGGCAUUGAAAACAAAGAGUCAGUCAGAAGACCUACCAUUCAUCAA